rnacentral:misc_RNA from 1 species
UCGUACAAUGGAGGUGCUUGUGGGGGCUGUCGCUGACCUUUUGAAAAGGGUCGUGCACGCCCCUCGCACUCUCUCAUAUCCAUCUCACCCCUUUGUGCAUUGCCGCGUGGGUCUCCCUUUAGGGGGACUUGCGUUUUUACAUAGACACCCUUUGAAAGCAUGUGUAGAACGUCUUAUUUAUUAUCAAUA